CGGGGCGUAGCUCAGCUUGGUCCAGAGCACUUGCUUGGGGUGCAAGUGGUCGGAGGUUCGAAUCCUCUCGCCCCGA
rnacentral:tRNA from 1 species